AUAAUACUCUCCCCGUUCGGAAUUACUUGUUGCCGAAAUUGUUGUAUUUAAACAUAUUUUAGUUUUAGAUACAUCCACUUUCAAAACAAAUAAUUCCGAACGAAGGGAGUACCUA
rnacentral:pre_miRNA from 1 species